CUUUGUAAACAACUCUUACACGUUGUUUUAAAGCUCAUCUUCUGUAUUUACUCCAAAAUGACUCGACGGUGCUGCAGCCACGAGAGUCCGGACUGUCUAAACAGACAGUCAUCCAGACGUGAACUCAAACACCAGCUUUUAUGAAGACGAGGAAUGAUGUGAUGAAAAAGCAGAAAGAAGCAGCACCAAAACACCCGCCAGCCUGUUAUGGCCCUACAUAAGACCUCAUGCUCGGGUCAGGCUCUUUCUUGGCCUACCUGAGUGACAUGAUAAACAUGGCUGAACUGACCAGCGAAGAUCUGAGCCCACUUUGUGAGCAGUCCAAGCUUUCAAUGAAUGGGAUCCCAUCAGUGAGUGAUGCUCACAGGAGGUGAUCUCAGGGCCUUCCUUCCUUCCUUCCUUCCUUCUGACACAGAGGCCUGGGGGAGUUGCAGGGGAGUCAGGAUGGCCGGAUGUGCCCUGAUCAGACAGACAGACAGAAAGAUAGACUGACAAGGAACAGACAUGCAGACAGGAGGAUGCUCGCUGCUACUGUGGACUUUGGGCUCGGUUUUGUUCCCAUCCGGAGCUACAAUGAGAAUGACAUCAUUCCUGUUUUGAUAGUACAACAGGAAGGUGCAGGGAGAUGGAGAGCUGCGGUGUGUGUGGGUGAGAGUAUGAAGAAGUAUGAGGAAACAAAAGGGAAACAUAUAAGCGUGGAUCAGAGAAGAGGCAGAGCUACGAUCAUAUCAGAGGUGGUAUAUCUGAGUGUCGGUCUGCAGGAGGCUUUGAUGGGCCCCACAGAAUUUUUUAUUUUCAGAAACAUACUGUACAUAAUUUUUCCUCUCUCCCUUCUCCUUCUGAAUCUAAUAAAGCAAUAAAAUCAAUAAAGUGAAUUAAGU